rnacentral:tRNA from 2 species
CUCCUCGUAGUGUAACGGAUAGCACGUAAGAUUCCGGUUCUUAAGAUAGAGGUUCGACUCCUCUCGAGGAGGC